rnacentral:tRNA from 1 species
GAAUGGCUCAUUGGUUAACGAGGCGUCCUUUCACAUGGAAGGUCAGAGGUUCGAAUCCUUUACUGUU